rnacentral:lncRNA from 1 species
UGGAAUUGGUGGUAUUGGAGGUGGGCUUGGUGGUGGAUCUGGAUUAUUAGGAGGAGUUGGUGGUUUGGGAGGGGCUGCUGGAGGCCUCGGGGGCCUCGGAGGCGGUGCCGGAGGUGGCCUCGGCGGUGGUUCAGGUGGUGGCCUUGGCAGUGGUAUCGGUGGCGGCGCUGGUGGCGGAUUUGGUGGAGGUGCCGGAGGGGGUCUCGGGGGUGGAAGUGGCAGUAACUGUGGUGGUGGCCUACUUCACCCUUGAUAUUUCUACAAUUUCAUUUCAUGCUUCUUUAAUUUUAGGAUAAUGUCAGUUAAUCAAGUCGGUUUUGUGUUAGCCUUUCUUCACUUUUGAUAAGUCGGUUAUAAGUUUUUAAGAGUUCUUUUAUUUUGG